UACGUAGGGGGCGAGCGUUGUCCGAAGUUACUGGGCGUAAAGCGCGCGUAGGCGGGUUGGCAAGUCUGCUGUGAAAGCCCGGGGCUUAACUCCGGAGGGUCGGUGGAUACUGCCAGUCUUGAAGGUGCUAGGGAGAGAUGGAAUUACCGGUGUAGCGGUGAAAUGCGUAGAUAUCGGUAGGAACACCAGUGGCGAAGGCGGUCUCUUGGGGCAUUCUUGACGCUGAGGCGCGAAAGCUGGGGGAGCGAACGGG
rnacentral:rRNA from 1 species